rnacentral:sRNA from 1 species
GGUGGUCAAAACGGAAAACUUCCAGUCUUUGCUAAAUGCAAGAGCAAAUCUUAUUCAAAGAGCAACUGCAAUAAAGAUUCGCUUUAAGAUAUUAAGGAAAACUAAUAAAAAGUUCCAGACGUUUUUCACAGACCAAUGGGCAGAUAUAUGUGACCUAUAGGGCAAUGAGGCCAAUAAGGGCAAUGUAUUCUGGGAUAUGUUCUCUGUCUUUAUUCUUAAGAACACAAAUGUGAAUCAUUCCUGUCCAUAUGAGCCGCAGGAGAUUUACACUAAAGAUUUCAUUUUAUGCAACCAAGUGGGAGAUAUUUUGCCUUUUCCCAAGGGAUUCUAUCGUUCGGAGUUAACAAUUUUUGCAAAUAGUGCUAAACGUUGCAUGAUCAGGGUGGAUGGUGAAAAAUCUUAACAAUGAAUUAAGGAAUGCCUGACAUUAGAUUUUUGAAAUAUCGCAGAUGUUUGCGAAAUAUGAUGAAUGUGGUUAAAUUAGAAUUUGGGAUAAAUUAUGAAAUUUUUACCAAAGAAUAUAUAUGAAUGAAUAUUUGUCUGUAUAUUUA